CGGCGGACGGGUGAGUAAUGCUUAGGAAUCUGCCUAUUAGUGGGGGACAACAUUCCGAAAGGAAUGCUAAUACCGCAUACGUCCUACGGGAGAAAGCAGGGGAUCUUCGGACCUUGCGCUAAUAGAUGAGCCUAAGUCGGAUUAGCUAGUUGGUGGGGUAAAGGCCUACCAAGGCGACGAUCUGUAGCGGGUCUGAGAGGAUGAUCCGCCACACUGGGACUGAGACACGGCCCAGACUCCUACGGGAGGCAGCAGUGGGGAAUAUUGGACAAUGGGGGGAACCCUGAUCCAGCCAUGCCGCGUGUGUGAAGAAGGCCUUAUGGUUGUAAAGCACUUUAAGCGAGGAGGAGGCUACUGAGACUAAUACUCUUGGAUAGUGGACGUUACUCGCAGAAUAAGCACCGGCUAACUCUGUGCCAGCAGCCGCGGUAAUACAGAGGGUGCGAGCGUUAAUCGGAUUUACUGGGCGUAAAGCGUGCGUAGGCGGCUUUUUAAGUCGGAUGUGAAAUCCCCGAGCUUAACUUGGGAAUUGCAUUCGAUACUGGGAAGCUAGAGUAUGGGAGAGGAUGGUAGAAUUCCAGGUGUAGCGGUGAAAUGCGUAGAGAUCUGGAGGAAUACCGAUGGCGAAGGCAGCCAUCUGGCCUAAUACUGACGCUGAGGUACGAAAGCAUGGGGAGCAAACAGGAUUAGAUACCCUGGUAGUCCAUGCCGUAAACGAUGUCUACUAGCCGUUGGGGCCUUUGAGGCUUUAGUGGCGCAGCUAACGCGAUAAGUAGACCG
rnacentral:rRNA from 1 species